rnacentral:rRNA from 1 species
CUACGGGUUGCUGCAGUAAGGAAUAUUGCGCAAUGGAGGCAACUCUGACGCAGCCAUGCCGCGUGCAGGAAGAAGGCCUUAUGGGUCGUAAACUGCUUUUAUUUAGGAAUAAACCCCCGAACGUGUUCGGGGCUGAAGGUACUAAACGAAUAAGCACCGGCUAACUCCGUGCCAGCAGCCGCGGUAAUACGGAGGGUGCAAGCGUUAUCCGGAUUUAUUGGGUUUAAAGGGUGCGCAGGCGGGCUAUUAAGUCAGUGGUGAAAUCCCGGGGCUCAACUCCGGAACUGCCAUUGAUACUGGUAGUGUUGAGUUUGGUUGAAGUGGGCGGAAUGUAGCAUGUAGCGGUGAAAUGCAUAGAUAUGCUACAGAACACCAAUCGCGAAGGCAGCUCACUAAGCCAAAACUGACGCUCAUGCACGAAAGCGUGGGGAUCAAACAGGAUUAGAUACCCUCGUAGUC